CCUUAGAUGUUCUGGGCCGCACGCGCGCUACACUGACGGAGCCAGCGAGUACUUCCUUGUCCGAAAGGUCCGGGUAAUCUUGUUAAACUCCGUCGUGCUGGGGAUAGAGCAUUGCAAUUAUUGCUCUUCAACGAGGAACCCCUAGUAAGCGCAAGUCAUCAGCUUGCGUUGAUUACGUCCCUGCCCUUUGUACACACCGCCCGUCGCUACUACCGAUUGAAUGGCUCAGUGAGGCGUCCGGACUGGCCCAGAGAGGUGGGCAACUACCACUCAGGGCCGGAAAGCUCUCCAAACUCGGUCAUUUAGAGGAAGUAAAAGUCGUAACAAGGUCUCCGUUGGUGAACCAGCGGAGGGAUCAUUACCGAGUUUACAACUCCCAAACCCCUGUGAACAUACCUUAAUGUUGCCUCGGCGGAUCAGCCCGCGCCCCGUAAAACGGGACGGCCCGCCAGAGGACCCAAACUCUAAUGUUUCUUAUUGUAACUUCUGAGUAAAACAAACAAAUAAAUCAAAACUUUCAACAACGGAUCUCUUGGUUCUGGCAUCGAUGAAGAACGCAGCAAAAUGCGAUAAGUAAUGUGAAUUGCAGAAUUCAGUGAAUCAUCGAAUCUUUGAACGCACAUUGCGCC
rnacentral:rRNA from 1 species